rnacentral:rRNA from 1 species
AGCGAACGCUGGCGGCAGGCUUAACACAUGCAAGUCGAGCGCCGUAGCAAUACGGAGCGGCAGACGGGUGAGUAACACGUGGGAACGUACCUUUUGGUUCGGAACAACACAGGGAAACUUGUGCUAAUACCGGAUAAGCCCUUACGGGGAAAGAUUUAUCGCCGAAAGAUCGGCCCGCGUCUGAUUAGCUAGUUGGUGAGGUAACGGCUCACCAAGGCGACGAUCAGUAGCUGGUCUGAGAGGAUGAUCAGCCAUACUGGGACUGAGACACGGCCCAGACUCCAACGGGAGGCAGAAGUGGGUAAUAUUGGACAAUGGGGGCAAGCCUGAUCCAGUCAUGACGCGUGAUAGAUGAAGGCCCUAGGGUUGUAAAGCUCUUUUGUGCGGGAAGAUAAUGACUGUACCGCAAGAAUAAGCCCCGGCUAACUUCGUGCCAGCCGCCGCCGUAA